CCGGGGGUCCCCCCCCCCCCCCCCCCCCUCCCCCCCCCCCCGGCCGCGGCGGCCGCCGCCGCGGCUCCCGCUCCGGUCGGGCCGGCGCCGGCUCCUCCGCGGAGGCCCCCCCGCAGUCGCCGAGUCUGCCCUCCGGGCGCCCGCAGCCGAAGUCCCGCUUCUCCAGGACCGCCUGCAGGUAGACGGCUUUGAACUUCUCCUCGGCCAGCACCUGUUGCAGCCACUUCAGUUUGAGUUUGCUGCGCUCCAGCUCGCGUUCCAUGUCCAGCACCGAGUCCAGCUGCAUAACGGGCACCUCCUCCCCAGGGAACUCGGCCCGCCAGUGGCGCUCAAAGUCCUGGGGGUCCCACAUGCCGGGCGCCCCUUCGGGCCUCCGGGGCCCAGCGCCUCCGCGCGCAGCGGGUUGGGGUCGCGCCCGGCUCUCUCCGCGCUGACGCAGUCGCCUGCUCUUCACUUCUGCUCCAGAUAGAAAAUAAGGGAAAAAAUAAUGAUAAUAAAGUUUUUUUCCCCUUCCGCCCUCGAGCCUUUUUCUUCUUCUUCUGGGUUUCGCCUCCCGGACGUCAGCCGCC
rnacentral:lncRNA from 1 species